AGGAAGAGAAGACAAACACCUUCAAUAUUGAAAAAUGACGAAACUCAAACCAGUUCUCAUUUAAGUGGUUCACAGAAGAUCAAGAGGAUGAUAAGUGACAAUCUUA